GCUGGGUAUGAUGGCGCGUGCCUGUAAUCCCAGCUACUCAAGAGGCUGAGGUGGGAGGAUCGCUUGAGUCCAGGAGUUCAAGACUGCAGUGAGCCAAGAUCGCGCCACUGCACUCCAGCCUGGGCAACAGAGCAAGCCCCUGUCUCAA
ensembl:misc_RNA Metazoa_SRP Metazoan signal recognition particle RNA